rnacentral:rRNA from 1 species
GAUGAACGCUGGCGGCGUGCCUAAUACAUGCAAGUCGAGCGAACGGACGAGAAGCUUGCUUUUCUGAUGUUAGCGGCGGACGGGUGAGUAACACGUGGAUAACCUACCUAUAAGGCUGGGAUAACUUCGGGAAACCGGAGCUAAUACCGGAUAAUAUUUUGAACCGCAUGGUUCAAAAGUGAAAGACGGUCUUGCUGUCACUUAUAGAUGGAUCCGCGCUGCAUUAGCUAGUUGGUAAGGUAACGGCUUACCAAGGCAACGAUGCAUAGCCGACCUGGGAGGGUGUUCGGCCACACUGGAACUGAGACACGGUCCAGACUCCUACGGGAGGCAGCAGUAGGGAAUCUUCCGCAAUGGGCGAAAGCCUGACGGAGCAACGCCGCGUGAGUGAUGAAGGUCUUCGGAUCGUAAAACUCUGUUAUUAGGGAAGAACAUAUGUGUAAGUAACUGUGCACAUCUUGACGGUACCUAAUCAGAAAGCCACGGCUAACUACGUG